rnacentral:rRNA from 1 species
AUACGUAGGGGGCGAGCGUUGUCCGGAAUGAUUGGGCGUAAAGGGCGCGUAGGCGGCGCGGUAAGUCUGGAGUGAUAGUCCUGCUUUCAAGGUGGGAAUUGCAUUGGAUACUGCCGCGCUUGAGUGCAGGAGAGGUUAUCGGAAUUCCCGGUGUAGCGGUGAAAUGCGUAGAGAUCGGGAGGAACACCAGUGGCGAAGGCGGGUAACAGGUCUGCAACUAACGCAAAGGCGCCAAAGUUUCGGGAGCAAACAGGAUUAGAUACCCUGGUAGUCCACACUGUAAACGGUGAAUGCUAUGUGUAAGAGGUAUCGACCCCUUUUGUGCCGGAGUCAAAACAAUAAGCAUUCCGCCUGGGGAGUGCGGCCGCAAGGUUGAAACGCAAAUGAAUUGACGGGG